AUAAUAAAUAAAUAAAUAAAAACACCAGAAUAAAAAGACUACGUUAGACGGCAAAAGGAGAUGUCAACAACAUUGCCAGCUUCAGAACAGCCGUUUGAAUGGGUUAAAAAAGCUCCCAUGGCAUGGACCCAUCCAACCUCAUGGGUCCUGAAUCAUGAUUCUAACUUUUUUAGUUUCAUCAUUAACCAGAAAAUUUUUUAAGGGUUCAUGUCCCAAUUAUAUAUAUUAAAAAAAAACCUUUUUUCUUGUAAAUUUUCAAAUAUUAUGGCCAGGG
rnacentral:misc_RNA from 1 species